GUACGGGAGGCAGCAGUGGGGAAUAUUGGACAAUGGGCGAAAGCCUGAUCCAGCAAUGCCGCGUGAGUGAUGAAGGCCUUAGGGUUGUAAAGCUCUUUUACCCGGGAUGAUAAUGACAGUACCGGGAGAAUAAGCUCCGGCUAACUCCGUGCCAGCAGCCGCGGUAAUACGGAGGGAGCUAGCGUUGUUCGGAAUUACUGGGCGUAAAGCGCACGUAGGCGGCUUUGUAAGUCAGAGGUGAAAGCCUGGAGCUCAACUCCAGAACUGCCUUUGAGACUGCAUCGCUUGAAUCCAGGAGAGGUGAGUGGAAUUCCGAGUGUAGAGGUGAAAUUCGUAGAUAUUCGGAAGAACACCAGUGGCGAAGGCGGCUCACUGGACUGGUAUUGACGCUGAGGUGCGAAAGCGUGGGGAGCAAACAGGAUUAGAUACCCCGGUAGG
rnacentral:rRNA from 1 species